UACGAAGAGGGCUAGCGUUGCUCGGAAUCACUGGGCGUAAAGCGCACGUAGGCGGAUUGCUAAGUCAGGGGUGAAAUCCUGGAGCUCAACUCCAGAACUGCCUUUGAUACUGGCGAUCUUGAGUCCGGGAGAGGUGAGUGGAACUGCGAGUGUAGAGGUGAAAUUCGUAGAUAUUGCAAAGAACACCAGUGGCGGAAGGCGGCUCAC
rnacentral:rRNA from 1 species